rnacentral:rRNA from 1 species
GAUGAACGCUGGCGGCGUGCCUAAUACAUGCAAGUCGAGCGAACGGACGAGAAGCUUGCUUUUCUGAUGUUAGCGGCGGACGGGUGAGUAACACGUGGAUAACCUACCUAUAAGACUGGGAUAACUUCGGGAAACCGGAGCUAAUACCGGAUAAUAUUUUGAACCGCAUGGUUCAAAAGUGAAAGACGGUCUUGCUGUCACUUAUAGAUGGAUCCGCGCUGCAUUAGCUAGUUGGUAAGGUAACGGCUUACCAAGGCAACGAUGCAUAGCCGACCUGAGAGGGUGAUAGGCCACCCUGGAACUGAGACACGGUCCAGACUCCUACGGGAGGCAGCAGUAGGGAAUCUUCCGCAAUGGGCGAAAGCCUGACGGAGCAACGCCGCGUGAGUGAUGAAGGUCUUCGGAUCGUAAAACUCUGUUAUUAGGGAAGAACAUAUGUGUAAGUAACUGUGCACAUCUUGACGGUACCUAAUCAGAAAGCCACGGCUAACUACGUG